UGGGGAAUAUUGGACAAUGGGCGCAAGCCUGAUCCAGCAAUGCCGCGUGUGUGAAGAAGGCCUUCGGGUUGUAAAGCACUUUUAUCAGGAGCGAAACGCUGUCGGCUAAUACCCGGCGGAACUGACGGUACCUGAGGAAUAAGCACCGGCUAACUUCGUGCCAGCAGCCGCGGUAAUACGAAGGGUGCAAGCGUUAAUCGGAAUUACUGGGCGUAAAGCGUGCGUAGGCGGUUUCUUAAGUCUGCUGUGAAAUCCCCGGGCUCAACUGGGAAUGGCAGUGGAUACUGGGAGGCUAGAGUGUGUCAGAGGGUGGUGGAAUUCCCGGUGUAGCGGUGAAAUGCGUAGAGAUCGGGAGGAACAUCAGUGGCGAAGGCGGCCACCUGGGACAACACUGACGCUGAGGCACGAAAGCGUGGGGAGCAAACAGGGUUAGAUACCCUGGUAGUCCACGCCUAAACGAUGCGAACUGGAUGUUGGUCUCAACUCGGAGAUCAGUGUCGAAGCUAACGCGUUAAGUUCGCCGCCUGGGAGUACGGUCGCAAGACUGAAACUUAAAUGAAUUGACGGGGUCAUAGCUGUUUCCUG
rnacentral:rRNA from 1 species